AGUCAGUUCCCCUGAGCCCAAGUCAAGGUGUCCAUAAGCUUGGAUCCUUCUGGAGGAAGGAGGCUCCCAGGGGAAAAUCUGUUGCAUUGCCUUUUUCAAUAUUCUCAUUGCUGCCUGUGUUCCUUGGCCUGUGACCUCUUCCUCCAUAGUCAAAGGACAUCACUCGAGUUUCUGCUUCCAACACCCUGUCGCCAUCUCCUCCGGUUCUGACUCCUCCUGUCGGCUUCACAAGGACUGCCAUGAGCACAGGUAAAGAAAAUCCAAACCCAGGAUUUACCAGAUUUCUGGUCAAAGCAUCUUCUGGAUGGAGACCUAAACGUACCAACUGCCCCAAGAAGACACAGGAGUAAAAAGCCAGGAAGCCGGGUUUCCAGUACCCGAUGCCCCCCUCUAGCUGCACACGUGGCCUCAGGCAAGUUACUUUGCUCCUUAGGGAUUUGUUUUUCUUAUCUGCAUCAUCUGGACUAGAUGCUUUCCUAUGAGCCUAUGGAAAGAAAACAGACUCAGCUAUAAACAUUCAGAAGUAAGUACAGCAUUGCAGAAAAGGGCAUCUUAGUUAAAGCAAUAUACAUUAGGUUCAUGUGAUUUAAGGCUCUUUUAAAAGCUCUCCAUUAGA